CAGUAGCCGCGGGAAUACGUAGGUGGCAAGCGUUGUCCGGAAUUAUUGGGCGUAAAGCGCGCGCAGGCGGUUUCUUAAGUCUGAUGUGAAAGCCCCCGGCUUAACCGGGGAGGGUCAUUGGAAACUGGGAGACUUAGAGUGCAGAAGAGGAGAGUGGAAUUCCAUGUGUAGCGGUGAAAUGCGUAGAUAUAUGGAGGAACACCAGUGGCGAAGGCGACUCUCUGGUCUGUAACUGACGCUGAGGCGCGAAAGCGUGGGGAGCAAACAGGAUUAGAUACCCCUGUAGUCCCUGUCUCUUAUA
rnacentral:rRNA from 1 species